CCUACGGGUGGCAGCAGUAGGGAAUAUUGCUCAAUGGGGGGAACCCUGAAGCAGCAACGCCGCGUGGAGGAUGAAGGUUUUCGGAUUGUAAACUCCUUUUGUUAGAGAAGAUACUGACGGUAUCUAACGAAUAAGCACCGGCUAACUCCGUGACAGCAGCCGCGGUAAUACGGAGGGUGCAAGCGUUACUCGGAAUCACGGGGCGUAAAGCGCGUGUAGGCGGGAUAGCAAGUCAGAUGUGAAAUCCUAUGGGUUAACCAUAGAACUGCAUUUGAAACUGUUAGUCUAGAGUAUGGGAGAGGUAGGUGGAAUUCUUGGUGUAGGGGUAAAAUCCGUAGAGAUCAAGAGGAAUACUCAUUGCGAAGGCGACCUGCUAGAACAUAACUGACGCUGAGGCGCGAAAGCGUGGGGAGCAAACAGGAUUAGAUACCCUUGUAGUC
rnacentral:rRNA from 1 species